ACAUGCAAGUCGAACGCUUCACUUCGGUGAAGAGUGGCGAACGGGUGAGUAAUACAUAAGUAACCUGGCAUCUACAGGGGGAUAACUGAUGGAAACGUCAGCUAAGACCGCAUAGGUGUAGAGAUCGCAUGAACUCUAUAUGAAAAGUGCUACGGGACUGGUAGAUGAUGGACUUAUGGCGCAUUAGCUUGUUGGUAGGGUAACGGCCUACCAAGGCGACGAUGCGUAGCCGACCUGAGAGGGUGACCGGCCACACUGGGACUGAGACACGGCCCAGACUCCUACGGGAGGCAGCAGUAGGGAAUUUUCGGCAAUGGGGGAAACCCUGACCGAGCAACGCCGCGUGAAGGAAGAAGUAAUUCGUUAUGUAAACUUCUGUCAUAGAGGAAGAACGGUGGAUAUAGGGAAUGAUAUCCAAGUGACGGUACUCUAUAAGAAAGCCACGGCUAACUACGUGCCAGCAGCCGCGGUAAUACGUAGGUGGCGAGCGUUAUCCGGAAUUAUUGGGCGUAAAGAGGGAGCAGGCGGCACUAAGGGUCUGUGGUGAAAGAUCGAAGCUUAACUUCGGUAAGCCAUGGAAACCGUAGAGCUAGAGUGUGUGAGAGGAUCGUGGAAUUCCAUGUGUAGCGGUGAAAUGCGUAGAUAUAUGGAGGAACACCAGUGGCGAAGGCGACGAUCUGGCGCAUAACUGACGCUCAGUCCCGAAAGCGUGGGGAGCAAAUAGGAUUAGAUACCCUAGUAGUCCACGCUGUAAACGAUGAGUACUAAGUGUUGGGUGUCAAAGCUCAGUGCUGCAGUUAACGCAAUAAGUACUCCGCCUGAGUAGUACGUUCGCAAGAAUGAAACUCAAAGGAAU
rnacentral:rRNA from 1 species